rnacentral:lncRNA from 1 species
UCAUAGUUUUCUGUCCCAAGAGGAGGGAGCUCUCUGGGGUGGGGAGUUGCCAGGAAUCAGAAACUCCCCAAUACAAAUAGUUCGGUCCUUUAAGAAAAAAACUUCAAAUGUGGAGAGGCCAGGUCAGCUGGAAAGAGAGUUUCAGCAGACCCUGUUCUGACCGGCAGAGGCUGCCAGGAGUUUACUGAAAGCCCUCCAGCUGAGUACACAGCCCCCGGGGAGCAGGAAUGGGCAGAGGGGCAGCUGAACCCCAGCCAGCGCUGCUGGGAAGAAGACGGAGGAGAGAGCACAGGGGCGUCCAGCACGUCUGCCACUAACAGGGGGGAGCCCGGCAGCUGGCUUGCAGCUGUUUCUUAGCUCCAAGGAGCCUCGCCUCUGGAAUGAUCCUUUGCAGUGGCUUGGGCAACCCGGGCCAAGGAGCUUGCAGCCUCAGAGGUGGUGAGGCUUCAGUGGAGAAGGACAGGGCAAGUUCUGAGGUAGCAUGGAACGUCGUCACCCUCCACUGAGUGUCCUUGAAAGCUUGUCAGCCUGCUGAGGUUGGGGGU